UGGUGCUGGGGAUCGGCGGCCCUCGCGGCCCCCGUCCCUCAAAUUCAGUGGCGGUCGCGCCGCAGCCUCCCCUGCGUAGUAGCACAACCUCGCACCGGAGAGCGGAACGACCACGCCGUGAAACCCCCAAUUUUUCAAGGUUGACCUCGGAUCAGGUAGGAAUACCCGCUGAACUUAAGCAUAUCAAUAAGCGGAGGAAAAGAAACCAACAGGGAUUGCCUCAGUAACGGCGAGUGAAGCGGCAACAGCUCAAAUUUGAAAUCUGGCCUCACGGUCCGAGUUGUAAUUUGUAGAGGAUGCUUUUGGCAAGGUACUUUCCGAGUUCCCUGGAACGGGACGCCAUAGAGGGUGAGAGCCCCGUACGGUCAGACCACCGAGCCUCUGUAAAGCUCCUUCGACGAGUCGAGUAGUUUGGGAAUGCUGCUCUAAAUGGGAGGUGUACGUCUUCUAAAGCUAAAUACCGGCCAGAGACCGAUAGCGCACAAGUAGAGUGAUCGAAAGAUGAAAAGCACUUUGAAAAGAGGGUUAAAAAGUACGUGAAAUUGUUGAAAGGGAAGCAUUCAUGACCAGACUUGGGCUUGGUUGAACAUCCGGCGUUCUCGCCGGUGCACUCUGCCAGUCCAGGCCAGCAUCAGUUUGACCCGGGGGACAAAGGCGGCGGGAAUGUGGCUCCCCUCGGGGAGUGUUAUAGCCCGCCGUGUAAUGCCCUGGGUUGGACUGAGGAACGCGC
rnacentral:rRNA from 1 species